rnacentral:snRNA from 1 species
GGCUGUUAGGGCGAUCUGACUGUGACGUCUGCCACCCCAUUGAUCUCCAGGGUUGAUUUGGCUGAUCCCUAUUGAUCACCAGGGUUGAUUUGACUGGUUAGGAGAGUGUCCCCUUCCUCCCUCACCCCUCCAUGUGUGUCCCUCCUGAAGCUGAGUGCUCAAUUGAAGAGGACACCCAUCCCCGCUAGAGAAGGACCAUUCGCUUCCCCUGCCAGGAUCUCCAGAAAGCAGCUCGAGGUUCAGACACGCUGCGGAAAGGCUGGGGAAUGAACACAGCACCUCUGAAAAUAUGGAGACCACCACACAGCUGGGCCAUAGGGCUGUGUCU